CGGGAACCUGCAGCGCCUGCGCACUGACAACACCCGCAGCCCGCCGGGUCUCUCUUGACUGUGCGCCUGCGCACCGAGGAUGGUGCCCAGUCAAUGCAAUCUUCCCUGCUGCUGGUCUCCAAAGUGGCUCCAGACACAAGGGGGCGUGAAUUGCCUCGCUGGCUCGGCCCACUCUUAAUUUACGUCUCCACAAAAACCACCAGCAACGAAGUUAAGCCUGUCCACUUCCUUUUCCCGGAGACACAGCUCCUUUGUUCCUGUGAUUACCUUCUUCAGGACUGGUACCCACUUCGUGAAUAGGAUCACAGCACCCUGGCCAGGGUCCCUUCUUGGGAAACAAGGAGGAGGCGUGGUAUGCAAGCAAAUAUAAUGAGGGCGCCAAGGGAGAGAUUGCCAUUCCUCAGAGGCCCAAUAGGAGAGAAUGGUGAACUGACCAAGCAGCAGCAGUGACGGCAGCAGUAGCGGCGGCUUUGGCGGCAUUGGCGGCGGCAGCGGUCUGGAUGAUUUCCGGUUUCGAUGGCGUGGGUUUCGGAGGCGUGGGUUUUUUAGCUGGCAGCGGAGGAUUCGCAGCUCCUAUGUGUCCUGGCCAUAUUCCUGCAUCUUGGCUCUUUACCUCUGCGGCACAGGCGAAGCUUAAGAGGAUUAUUAGUAGUUGCCACCAUCCAGUUGUUGUCUUCAUUUUGGCUGGGUGUCUUCUUGACGUGGGAGGCGUGUAUCCAAGCAGCGAUCCCAUCCACCUUUACUGCCAUGGGGGUGGUCAGCAACACCAGAUAUGGUCCUUUCCACCGAGGCUCCAAGGUGCCAGCUCGAUGUCGUCUGACUAAGACCGAAUCUCCAACCUGGAACCUGUGGGGCACCUCUGAAGUUCCCGUUGCAAGGCCAAUCCCUGACUUACCUGGGCAACAAAAGCUGGCCCAUUAUCCGAGCCGAUUACCUUGGGUACCCCAAACCGGGGUAAGAUUUCUUCAAGAAUCUUCUUGGCCACCACCUGAGCAGUUUCGGAUUUUGUGGGGAAAGCCUCCACCCAUCCUGAAAAGGAUCACUCGCCCAUCCAUAGUCCGCGCUACCCCAUCAAAGCUGAAUUCUUGAGCUUGUUUUCUGCAAACCAUAUCUUCUAAUAUUUUAAAAUCAUUGGCUGAAUAAAUGUGGUUAGAGUCAUCAGUAACUGGAGUUUUUACUGGAGUCUGACUCUUUUCUGCUAAUAUUGUUA
ensembl:lncRNA